rnacentral:rRNA from 1 species
GAUGAACGCUGACAGAAUGCUUAACACAUGCAAGUCAACUUGAACUUCGGUUUGGGUGGCGGACGGGUGAGUAACGCGUAAAGAACUUGCCUCACAGCUAGGGACAACAUUUGGAAACGAAUGCUAAUACCUGAUAUUAUGAUUUUAGGGCAUCCUAGAAUUAUGAAAGCUAUAUGCGCUGUGAGAGAGCUUUGCGUCCCAUUAGCUAGUUGGAGAGGUAACGGCUCACCAAGGCGAUGAUGGGUAGCCGGCCUGAGAGGGUGAACGGCCACAAGGGGACUGAGACACGGCCCUUACUCCUACGGGAGGCAGCAGUGGGGAAUAUUGGACAAUGGACCAAGAGUCUGAUCCAGCAAUUCUGUGUGCACGAUGAAGUUUUUCGGAAUGUAAAGUGCUUUCAGUUGGGAAGAAAAAAAUGACGGUACCAACAGAAGAAGGGACGGCUAAAUACGUG